GCCCAGUUGGCUCAGUCAGUAGAGCAUGUGACUCUUAAUCUCAGGGUCAUGAGUUUGAGUCUAUGUUGGGUG
rnacentral:tRNA from 1 species